CCCGGGGCUCCCCACGAAGUAACCCUGUGCGCUUGCUCUUUUCUUCAGACUCCUUAAUCCUGCAGGCCCCAUAUUCUGUGUUUGAAGGUGACGCAUUGGUUCUGAGAUGCCACAGAAGGAGGAAAGAGAAAUGGACUGCUGUGAAAUAUACUUGGAAUGGAAACAUCCUUUCCAUUUCUAAUAAAAGCUGGGAUCUUCUUAUCCCACAAGCAAAUUCAAGUAACAAUGGCAAUUAUCGAUGCAUUGGAUAUGGAGACAAGAAUGAUGUAUUUAGAUCAAAUAUCAAAAUAAUUAAAAUUCAAGAACUAUUUCCACAUCCAGAGCUGAAAGCUACAGACUCUCAGCCUACAGAGGGGAAUUCUGUAAACCUGAGCUGUGAAACACAGCUUCCUCUAGAGCGGUUGGACACCCCACUUCACUUCAACUUCUUCAGAGAUGACAGGGUCAUCCUGUCAGACUGGAGCACGUCCCCGGAACUCCAGCUCCCAACCGUCUGGAGAGAAAACUCAGGAUCCUAUUGGUGUGAUGCUGAAACAGUGAUGGGUAACAUCCACAAGCACAGUCUCUCACUACAGAUCCACGUGCAGCGGAUCCCUGUGUCUGGGGUGCUCCUGGAGACCCAGCCCUCAGGGGGCCAGGCGGUUGAAGGGGAGAUGCUGGUCCUUGUCUGCUCCGUGGCUGAAGGCACAGGGGACACCACGUUCUCCUGGCACCGAGAGGACACGCAGGAGAGUCUGGGGAGGAAAACUCAGCGUUCCCUGAGAGCAGAGCUGGAGCUCCCUGCCAUCAGACAGAGCCAUGCAGGAGGAUACUACUGUACAGCAGACAACAGCUACGGCCCCGUCCAGAGUGCGCUGCUGAAUGUCACUGUGAGAGAGACCCCAGGCAACAGAGAUGGCCUUGUCGCCGCGGGAGCCACUGGGGGGCUGCUCAGUGCUCUUCUCCUGGCUGUGGCCCUGCUGUUUCACUGCUGGCGCCGGAGGAAGUCAGGAGUUGGUUUCUUGGGAGACGAAACCAGGCUCCCUCCCGCUCCAGACCCAGGAGAGUCCUCCCAUUCCAUCUGCCCUGCCCAGGUGGAGCUUCAGUCGUUGUAUGUCGAUGGUGAGGAUUCCCCUCUAGGAAGCUGUUCCUGGCCUCAGCCAUGGAAAGAUAAUGCGCUUUCAGCCCUGGGAAAUGCCCCUGGACUCCCUAAAGUGUCCCAAAUCCAGAUAUUCCCAGAUAAUUGUUCCAUUAUGUAUCCGAGAAGAAUGGAGAUGAUGCUUAGGAAGAGGCAUCUGUAGCACUUUAAUACUAACAGAAACAGCAUUGAAAAUGUCUUUUCUUUCCAGUACACCCCAAAAAGGGAGAUUUGGUAUACUCUGAGAUCCAGACUAUUCGGCUGGGAGAAGAAGGGGAAGCUAAUACCUCCAGGACACUUCUAGAGGAUAAGGAUGUCUCAGUUGUCUACUCUGAGGUAAAGACACAACACCCAGAUAACUCAGCUGGAAAGAUCAGCUCUAAGGAUGAAGAAAGUUAUGAUAAUGAAAAGUGACGAGAAUGAAAAGUUACGAGAAUGUCCUACUCAUGUGACUUGUCCCUUAUCCAGAGUCCCAGGCCCAGUGCAGUCCUUGCGGCCCCUGGAAUGAUCAACUCAUUCCAGCUUUCUAAUUCUUCUCAUGCAUAUGCAUUCACUCCCAGGAAUACUCAUUCAUCUACUCUGAUGUUGGGAUGGAAUGGCCUCUGAAAUACUUCACUAAAAUGACCAGGAUCCACAGUUACGAGAAGACCCUGUAGUAUUUGCUGUGGGCCUGACCUAAUAUAUUCCCUAGGGUCUGCUUUAGAGAAGGGGGAUAAAGAGAGAGAAGGACUGUUUUUGAAAAACAGAAGCACAAAUUUUGGUGAAUUGGGAUUUGCACAGAGAUGAAAAAGACUGGGUGACCUGGAUCUCUGCUUAAUACAGCUACAACAGUUAUCUCACUGGAGACUCACUUGCAUCAGUUUGUUUAACUGUGAGUGGCUGCACAGGUACUGCGCAAACAAUGAAAAGCCUCUUCACUUCUGCCCGCACAGCUUACACUGUCAGGAUUCAAUUGCAGAUAAAAGAACCCAUUUGAAAUGGUUUACAGAGAGAGGAAUUUAAAAGAGGACAUCAGAAGAGCUGGAGAUGCAAGCUCUAGGCUGCGCUUCCAAAAGCAAAUGAUAAUUAUGUUAAUGUCAUUAGGGACAAAGAUUUGCAACAUUAGAGAAAAGAGACACAAA
rnacentral:sRNA from 1 species